UCCACCUCUCUGGGCAACCUUUUUCAGUGCCUCACCAUCCUUAUUGUAAUAAACAUUCUCCUUAGAUCCAAGCUAAAUCCUCCCCUCUUUUAGUUUGGAACCAUUUCCCCUUGUCCCAUCCCAACAAAUCCUUCUACAGAGACUGUGAUCUUCUUUCUUACAGCUCCCCACAAUGAAAUACCCAUCUGUACCAUAGAACACAGUUGGUAAAUACCAAGAAAGCAAAACAUAAUUGAUAACUAGGUGCAUCUGAUCACUGCAGACAAGAAUCACAUUUCCUAAGAUCUGAGAAAUAACUAAAUAUUGCAAAGGGAAGGAAAAUCUCCAUCUAAGAACAAGGACUUAACUGGAUUUCCUCUGUUUGGUUUCCUGGGGAGCCACUGAGAUUAAGCAGAUAUAAAAUUCAGUUCUUCCUAGGUCUAGGGGGGCCGUAAAAGCAAUGAAAAACCACAUAAAUACUUAGGACUUAAUUUUCACAUUAACACCUCCCCCUCUCCUCAAGACACCCACUCUUUCUGGUUUGUUUACAUCAUUAGUACACAUCAUUAAUUACCACAUGCUUAUGGAUUUCUGGUGCUGUGUCAAAUAUGGAACUGUACAGUGAGGGAGCCCGAUCCAGGUCCUGCUGGGACCAGCAGCAUCCAUGUGUCAGCUUGCACAUGGAUUAUCAUGGGAAUGGGCUAAUUUGUAGGUGAGAGAUGAUGAUCUGCUCAGUUCACAGGAGGACAGAAUCCCUUUCCUAACCAAACCCACAUCCCAUCAGGCAAUCCCUGAAUUAUUGUUAGGGAUAGUUUUUUGUAACUCCACAUUAAUAAAUAUCUCUCAACUCCAGCCUCUUCUCCAUAAAGUAUAACAAAUGUUUCACAGCGUCAGCCUCUUGGCCGUAAAGCAUAAUCCUUUGAGUGACCUAUGUUUUCCUUGUAGUGAUAUUUCUCUUCUUAUUAUGCCUGUCACGGCUUUGCCCACACAGCCCAUCAAUUAACAAUGGUGUCUAAAAAAAAGGGUUUUUUAUACACAGAGUUAAAACAGAGCUGUCAAGCAUGGCGGUUUUGAUCUUGUGUUUCUGUAUGAGUAGAAUGAGGUGAAAGUGGCAGAAAAGGACGUUCUCAUGGGGUUGGGCAGAAGAGAUAAAAGCCUUCAUUUAACACCAUUUGAAUGUAAAUUCUACUGAAACACAUCAGUGACAGAGAGGAGGUUAUGACUGAUCAGAUAUGAGUCUUUGAAUAGUUUGCCAAACCGAACUCCUUCUAGGUAUUUUCUUUCUUUCUUUUAUGCUUUCUUCUCCUCUCACCACUUUUGAUCAGUGACAUGCGCUGCGAUGGUUCCUAUCAGGGAGCACUGAGCAGUCCAGAGCAGAAGCAGGAAUAUGCGAUAGGAAGGGAAACAUCGGCAUAUCAAAGAUACUCAAGGACAGGGAGAACUUCAAGGGUUUUCCUCCAGAGAUAAUGACCAAAUUAUUAUGAAGUGAAACUGAAGGCAAAGAAAGUGAGAAGUGUCUGAGCGUAUUUCUGCUAGGGAGGGAAAGAUCUUUGUUGCGUGAAGAAGGAAUCAGAUAACAAACCUAUUCCACAGCUGAAAGACCAAACCUAAGAGAUAUUGGAGUUUUGCGUCUAUUCACUUCAGAUGCAGACCUGGAGUUCAGAGCGGAUUUUGAGCUAAAUCCUGGCAGGAAAAUAUUCAGAUGUUCUGUGUGGUAGAGAUGGUCUAUUCCACAAGACAGGUUGAUACGUUUAUGACAGCAUAUAGAGUAAAACCAGCAGAUUUUUAAUGAAAAACUGAGAAAGUAGUGGUAUGAAUGUCAAGUUUUGGACAAAAUAUAGCUCAUUUUUUCUUUGAUGUGUCAUCAUAUAUCAUAUUGACACUAAAAAGAAGAGUUUUGCCAUUAAUUCUCUCUGGGAAAAUCCAGGACAAGACCUUAUUUAAGUUAGAUUUUUAAAAUGAAUACUCAGGCCCCAUGGAUCAAUCUGUGGAGAAUCUGUUUUAAGGGUGUCUUAAAGAUUCAGGAUCUAAAAAUCCUGAAUAGCAAGUAUUCACCUUCUGUUUUGUUGAACUUAGAUAUUUCAGUGGCUCUUAAGUCUUUCAUAGGAAUUACCAUGCUUUCUCAUAUGGCCUUAUGUUCAUGUGUGCUGCCUGUUCCGAGAAGGCACUAUUCUCCUUUGGGAUGCUGAUCUCUGAGCACUGAUGUUAUGCACAGAAUUAUUUUAAUGUGUUUGGUUUUUUACACUUUCAACAAGUAAUUAUUUCCAGGGACAAAACCAACAAAUUAUCAUGCAGGUGUGAGUCAGGAGUCGUUUCAAUAAACUCCAUGCCGUUUUUUGUAUUUGCAUGUGUACGUUGUGUGAUCAGGUCUUGGAUCUUGAGUAUUCUUGGUUAGGUGUUUACAGUUACUGGGACAUCUAUCCACCAUAAUUUCAAUUCAGUGCACAGCUGCCACUUACAAUGUCAAAUUCCUAAAUCAUGCAGUCACUACAUUUCUAUUGGCUUGAAUUUACAAAGUCACAAAAAUCCUGUUCCAGGGCUAUGUCUAAUGCAGUUUUACACUGGUCCAAAGCAUGGCCCAGGUGUGGUACUGGAUAGGAACUGCUGAAUCACGGCCUGAACCUCUGAUUGAUCAUCUGAGGCCAGCAACGAGUCAGCCCUGGGAACACAGGUGAAGGCAAUUCACCUGUUCUGCCAGAAGGAGUGGAGCCUGGCUCCACCUCUCUUAGACCCAUUUAAGAGCUGACUACCAGUAGGGAAAGAUCUCUUUCUGGAGAGUCCUCCUUUGGAAUUUUACAGUGAGCCCAGGACACAGACUCAGGAGAGCAGCUCGCAUCUCAAAAGCCAGCUUGCAUCACUGGGCCAGAAAGAACUGUUUUACAGGAAAGGCCUGCUAUGAGGACUGCGUGACUUGGACAGUUGACUAGAAGAUGUGGAGUCUAAAAUCUGGUAAAGGAAAUGGAGAGGAGAGAAAAAGAAAAAAAUGACCAGUAUUCAGGCCUCCCUCCAUAUCCUUUUAACUAUUUUUGUCUCCUUUUCUGAGUUGGGAUUAGGAGAAGAAGGGUAGGGAAUGUGUGAAAUGAGUAAGGAGCAAAGGUUUCUUCCUUUUAUCUUCCUUUUACUCCCCUCCCUCCCCCCUUUUUUUAAGAAGAAGUAAUACUAAAAACUUACAAAUUCAAAUACUGAAAAACCAAAUCCAGCAAAAGAAUUGAUAGGAAUAAAAAUCUUUCUGUGCUGAAUAUUUGUUUACUGAUCAUGUUUACUGGAGUGGAACACUUUACAAAAUGCCAAAAUAAAAUGCAUACUCUGUUGGUAGGAGAAUAUAACUGAUAAAGGAAGGAUACAAGAUGAGAUAAAACAAGGAAGCCUAUAAUGCAGAAACAAAUUAUUUCAAAGCCCGAUUCUGGAAUCAGUAAUGUUUCUUAUAAUAAAGUAGGAAAGCUAGAAAUGCUUCCAGACUAAGCCUUAGGAGACUGUUUAUCUCAGCACCUUGUCAUUACUUCCGAGGCAAAAGGAGCUUCAGAAUCUUGCAGUAUCUCACCCCAACUCACAUAUAUAUGGUGAGAAAUUUCCCUGCGUUCCUUCUAUAUGGAACUGCAGUGCCCUGAUCACCAAAAAGCUGCUCCUUGUCUCCAGUCUUGCUGUGUCGCUUACUAUAAACAUGUAUGACAAAUGAGUGUUAUGACUGUAUGAGAAAUAUAGCCAUCCCCAGUCAAGCUGUGCAAAUGACAAACUUUGGAAUAAAAUAAACCAACGUAUAGUCCUUGCCAUUGUUGAUUUUGUUAUAGUCAAGUACAUUUCUAAGUAUAUGUUUCCUAACACCUUGGCUCCAGAGCUUUGUUAUACAAGACUUGGCUACAAAUCACAGCCCACCACCCAAGAAUGCUGAAAGUCUACUCUAUGUUGAGCCUUCAUCAGCAUCUGAGCCCCUGUAGUGUACACUAUGCAAGCAAUGCUCUUUGUAGUUAGGGGAGCCUGAGAUAUUCUUUGGCAUGACCUUGAUACGACUGAAAUUAUUCUUUUGGUCUUGAACCUGCCAUGCUGAUAUUCUCUAUGGAUAAAUUUUAAUUCUGGAUGGUACUUCUAUUUUGA